UCUCUCUCUCCCUCUGAUAAUGGGUUCGAUUUUGAAUGGGUAUAGUUGAAAUGGGUUCGAUUUGACGAUUUCCAUUUGAGUUUUGAUCUUGAUGUUGAUUUUAAUUAAGGUAAUGAACUAAUGAUGCUGAUUGGGUAGUUAGAAAUGAGUUUCAUAACUUGAUUUCCAUUUAAUCUUGUGGGAAAUGGGUUCGAUUUUGAAUGGGUAUAGUUGAAAUGGGUUCGAUUUGACGAUUUCCAUUUGAUAUUUUGAUGUGGAAGCUGAUCCAUUUAGUGUUUUUGUUUUCAUAGAUGGGGACCGCAGCUAGACCAAGCUACUUAUAAGAACUGUCAGCGUCUUUAUCUUUCCGAACAGACCGAUGGAAGUGUUCCAAAUACCCUUGUCAUUGCAAACUGUGAAGUUGUCAAACCUAGGGUUGCAGCUGCAGAGCACAUAUCACAGUUCAAUGAAGAAGCACGCUCUCCUUUUGUAAAGAAGUAUAAAACUAUAAUACAUCCUGGAGAGGUAUGCAAUACAUCAAAAGUAACUUUGUUUAUAGUCUUUUCUUGUUGAUAAGUUUGCAGGAGAUUGC